rnacentral:rRNA from 1 species
UUGGAGGGCAAGUCUGGUGCCCGCAGCCGCGGUAAUUCCAGCUCCAAUAGCGUAUAUUAAAGUUGUUGCAGUUAAAAAGCUCGUAGUUGAAUUUCGGGGUUCUUCCGUUGGUCAGGCUAACAAGUCUGUACUAGCGUGUAGAAUCUCUACCUUCUGGGGAACCAUCAUGUUAUUAAUUUAGCGUGGUGGGAAACCAGGACCUUUACCUUGAAAAAAUUAGUGUGUUCAAAGCAGGCUUACGUCUGAAUACAUUAGCAUGGAAUAAUAAAAUAGGACGGUGGUCCUGUUUUGUUGGUUUCUGAAUCACCGUAAUGAUUAAUAGGGAUAGUUGGGGGCAUUAGUAUUCAAUUGUCAGAGGUGAAAUUCUUGGAUUUAUUGAAGACUAACUUCUGCGAAAGCAUUUGCCAAGGAUGUUUUCAUUAAUCAAGAACGAAAGUUAGGGGAUCGAAGACGAUCAGAUACCGUCGUAGUCUUAACCAUAAACUAUGCCGACUAGGGAUCGGACGAUGUUAAAUUUUAUUGACUCGUUCGGCGCCUUACGGGAAAC